rnacentral:tRNA from 1 species
GAAAUAGCUCAGUCAAUAAAGCAGGAGACUCUUAAUCUCAGGGUUGUGGGUUUGAGCCCCACGUUGGGCA